GCAACCGUAGCUCAGUCUGGUAGAGCCACCGCCUAAACGACGGACGUCGCCGGUUCAAAUCCGGCCGGUUGCC
rnacentral:tRNA from 2 species